rnacentral:lncRNA from 13 species
UGUAUAUCAAUAAAUAGAAAUGUUUCCGAUCUUUCCGUUAUUUUUAGUUUAUUCAUGUAAUUGUAGAAUUGAUACUUGUGUACUAGUUUAUAGGCGCAAAAGGCGACCGCGCCUCUUGAUGUAACAACGGUUCUUUGAUUUUUUGCUUAUGCUUGUUAUUUGGAUUUGAUACAUGUUUCUAGUGAAUAUUUAAAUAAUAUAUUUUAUAUAUCAAAGCUUCUCUUUAGAUUCUGAUGACGAAUGAAUUUAUAAACUCUAUACUAUAUUAUACAAAAAGUAUAAUAGUAUUAUAGAAUUAUAGGGUUUUGAGAAAAGAUCUGCUUUAAUCCUCACUUUAAAACUAAAAGUUACACGUAAUCUCAAUAACGGAAAUCUGAAUAUCCAUUUUAUGGUUUUUUUCUCAAUAUCAGUGUUUUCUACUCAAAAUAGCGCCAAACGGCUUCAAACUCCCAUUAUUUAGAUAAUUUUACGUAAAAUUGUUUAUUAAAAAACAGGUCAGGAAAAAAUUUUGAGUUUUUAGCCGUCAAAAUUGAUUAUAUUAUUGUUCAAUAAUCGAUGUAAACCCGGAUACUCGUAUGUAUUUUGUAACGCUGGUGGUUUUUGGGCUGUGUCGGAAAUCGAGGAUUCGAUUGCGGAUAGGCUCGUCGGAUUGCCGGGUUCGGUUAAAUAAUCGCACUUGGACUUGUAGAAAACAAAUAUUGUAGGUUUAUUCAAAAUAAACUUAAAGAAAAUACAUGUAAUGAUAAAAGAACGUAAAUGCCUUAUAACGGGCAAACUAAAAUGAACAAAAAGGUAAUAGUCUUGAAGCGGUCAGCCUUAACUAAGUGAUCAUAUACACAGGAAUUAUCGGUAUUUUACAAAAACAAAGUGUCUUAAUGAAUGUAAGACGGAAAGAACAGAAGAACUUAAUCUACUCGAAAAUAUAAUUGUUGGUAAAUUAAACGGAAAAUAUAAUCGGCUUGAGAUCUUGGUUAAGUAUAUAUCGAUACGUGUAUCUACGUUUUCGCGGAGUUAAACGGACACGGCUUCCGGUGGAUAUCGGAGAGCCGCGGAACGCGUUAUCGUCGGUGUGGAUGCGGUCUAUGCGUGCGGUUGUAAACGCGGCGAGUGCGGAUUGGACGGUAACGGUGCGACGAGUUGGCGAUUCCGCAUUUCAUCCGAGCUGCCUUGAGCAAAUAAGACAGUAGAUAUCGUCAUAGCGCGGAUUCCCUGGCGAUGGUUUUAGGUUACGAGUCGCCCGGUUGGCUCGACGGGAAUAUCUUCCUCGAGUAUGCUCGAGGACGGAGCGAAUUGGCCAGGAAUGCCUAGCCUACGGACUCGACGAGGAUGCUUGUCGCGAGGCUACGGCGAGGAUGCUCGUCCAGGAGGUGGUUUCGGAUUAGCCGAGGAUGCUCGGCUGUUCGGGACGACGAGAAUUUUCGUCGAAAGCACGGAAGGAGGCGAGGAUGCUUGCCCUCGAGGAAGUCGGGAAUGUGUCGAGUAUGCUCGACCAGGACCAGGGAGUGAAACCUACAUAUGAAAAGUGGAAACAGAUAUGUGCAAGCGAAAACGGGGAUAAAUGCAUGCACGCGCAUGACGUCAUGCAGUGGUGGGACUAUUUCCACUGCGGCAUGAUGCUAUUUUUUAAUCGUCAUUUUGAGUGUAGUCGUAAAGUGUAGAAAGCAUGAUUAGGAUUGUUAAUGCAAUUCUUCAUUUGCAAUACAUAUUUUGUACAAUUAAGAUUUUGAUUAUCCGAGUUUUUUUUUCUAUCCGAAACAAACAAACUUUGGACUGAGCUUCUGACUAAGCUCUGUAGGAAGCCAAAUCAUUCAAGAUAAAAUUGUGUUACUGAAGCCGGACCGAACAAUUCAUCAUAAUUCAUCAUGAUUACAGAUAUACUUUUGAGUUGCACAAGAUUAUCUGUACGUGUUGGAUGGUUUAUUCCAUGGACGGAUCUGCCAACUGUUUAGGCAAUGCUGUAAUAUGCGUAAAUAAAUAGCGAGAUGUGACACAUAAUAUAUAUGUAUAUAUUAGUGUAUGAGGUAUGUAAUGUCCCAAUUUCUUGCAUACGAGUCAUUUAAUAGCAGAAAUAGUAAUAAGUUUGUAUUAUAUUAAAUUUUGCACUUCCGUUGAAUACCUUUCAGAAUAUGAAUCACUUUCUUAAUUCUUUAGAGUAUCAAUUAUUAAGCACUGUUGCUUAUGUUGUUAUCAUGCCUCUUUGCAGGAAAUUUUCGUGUCAGUUUCUUAAUUUUAGUAAUGGGUAAUUUUAUUCUUUCACUAUACAUUUUAUACAGUAUUAUAUAUUUUUACUUUUAAAAAUUAAUGUUUUAAAUUAUUUAGGUUAUAAGUUUGUUGCAUAUCAAAGAAAGCAGCAUUUUCAGUUUUUAAUUUUAUUUUACAAAAAA